UUAGGAAAAAAAAAAUUUUGUAUUCCUUUCGAUUCAUCGAGUCCAAAUACAAUGUAUGUUUAUAUACAGGGUCAAUAUGACCCAACCCAAAAACUCUCCUGGCUAACUCAAUAUAAGAUUGUGCUCAUCCAAGCCCAUGUACAUCCAUGACUUGACCCAAUCUCAUAAUCUUAGAUUCAAUCCUAGUCCAAAUAUAAUUAACCCCUCAA
rnacentral:lncRNA from 1 species